AACGAACGCUGGCGGCAGGCUUAACACAUGCAAGUCGAACGCCCCGCCAGGGGAGUGGCAGACGGGUGAGUAACACGUGGGAACAUGCCCAAAGGUACGGAAUAUUCUCGGGAAACUGAGAGCAAUACCGUAUGUGCCCGAAAGGGGAAAGAUUUAUCGCCUUUGGAUUGGCCCGCGUCGGAUUAGCUAGUUGGUGGGGUAAAAGCCUACCAAGGCGACGAUCCGUAGCUGGUCUGAGAGGACGACCAGCCACACUGGGACUGAGACACGGCCCAGACUCCUACGGGAGGCAGCAGUGGGGAAUCUUGGACAAUGGGCGCAAGCCUGAUCCAGCCAUGCCGCGUGGAUGAUGAAGGCCCUAGGGUUGUAAAAUCCUUUCGUGGGGGACGAUAAUGACGGUACCCAAAGAAGAAGCUCCGGCUAACUUCGUG
rnacentral:rRNA from 1 species